UGGAGGAAACUGUUCCUUAUUUGCCUUUGAUUGUUCACUAUUGGACUAAUAUAACCGACCUUCCUAGGAAACAAUUUAGGGAAAUCCCAAAUCUAGAAAUGGAUUCGCACCAGAAAUCGUCGCAGGCUCGCAGCUCUCGCUGAAGAUUGGUUGAAGCUGUUGAAAGGAGAGACGAGCAACGCAAAGCUGGUGGCGAAGUUCUGUGAAGGAGCAGAUCUCGCCUCACUUUUCCCUAGGUUUACGAUGUCUUUCAUCGACUUGUCAUAACUCGUACUUUCUCACUGAUCGUCGCGUAGUCUGCGGUCGGUGUCAGGGUUCAAGACGCCGUUCGUGAUCUGUUUCUUGAUCGCCUUCUCAUGACUGUCCUCGUUUCUGUCUUUAGGGUUUACAGGCAAGACUCGUACGCUCUUACUCCUUGCUGUGUUGUUUGCGGUUGUUAGGGUUUACUUUGCACUCGGUGAUCGGUUUCGUGACGGCCUUCUCAUGUCUGCUUUGCAGUUUUUUUUACAGUUUUCUACGAAUUUGUUCCAUGGAAUGGUGUCGUAAGUUGGGACAUUACUCCCUGGGGUUACUGGUACAUUGCUGCGGAGAAUGAGAUGCAUCUGUCUGCAAAAUAUGAACCCUUGAUCUUUCAAAGUCUUUUGAGAAGAAAAUCUUCGUACUUUGAAUUGUCUUGAUGAAGUCACUAACCGGGGAAAGUUUCUUGGAGGAGAUGAUGAUAACUGUUUGGACUAUUGCACCAAAAUAGAUUCGCUGCUCAUUCAGACACUUGUUCAAAUCUAUUCAAUUCUUACUGAAAUUCAGAGCACUUCUUUAUCUCCCCACAUUGUGAAAACUCCUCUGAGAUCAGCUACUAUAGCAAGGCCACCUCAUUUUAUGGUAAGAGUUAGGUACGAUAAGUGCCAUACCAAAAGAUCAUAGUAUGAGUUGGGUACGGUAAGUGCCAUGCCAGUAAAAAUUCGAUUCUCUUUACCUCGUACUGUAUAUAUCUUGUCUGUCUCUUGUCCCGUCCACUGCAUGAUUGUGUGUAUGCGAGUUUUGUCAUAUAGUACUUGCCCAUUACUUUAGGACGAUAAUAGUUGGCCUUUUGAGAACAGACCCAUUAUUGUUGUGCUUUAGCCAUUAUAGUUAUGCUUUCAGCCUCUAUUGAAGACUUGAAGAAAUCCUACAGUUCACUGAAAA